ACUUUCAGCUACACAAUCCUCGGCGUGCCUCCGUCGCUUCAUCUCUCUUUCUUUUCAUUGCGUUAAUCAUCUUCUUGCUCCGAAUACCUAGGAGUUUCUGUCUCAUGCUUUCCACUCGGUACUCUCUCUCUCUCUCUCGGUAUUGGUUUUGGUAAUGGCAGGUUUGCGCGGUUUCAGUGUAUUGUAAUAGAGGAGACAGGAAAACUGCGAAGAAGAAUCGUUUCAGUCACUCGUUCGGGAUUGUGAGCGCAAGGCCUCGUAACAAGAAGAAGGGGAGAGAACCACCGAAAUUGCUGGUGCCUCCUUCGCGGCCGGGGAAGGAUAAGUUCGACGACGGCGAGAAAAUCAAAAUUGAAGUCGAUGACUCUCUCUUCUCUAAUUAGAAUCGUAGUUCAUCGCUGUAAUCCGAGAAGAGGCUAUGAUUCUGCGAUUAUGUGUUGUUAAACAUCUAUAGUUCAUCUUGUUUCUAAUGGAUCUCUCUUGUUUUCUGUUUAUUCCAUGCUUUGUUUCGUGAUUU